rnacentral:rRNA from 1 species
CUACGGAGGGGGUUAGCGUUGUUCGGAAUUACUGGGCGUAAAGUGUACGUAGGCGGAUUGGAAAGUAUGGGGUGAAAUCCCAGGGCUCAACCCUGGAACUGCCUCAUAAACUCCCAGUCUAGAGUUCGAGAGAGGUGAGUGGAAUUCCGAGUGUAGAGGUGAAAUUCGUAGAUAUUCGGAGGAACACCAGUGGCGAAGGCGGCUCACUGGCUCGAUACUGACGCUGAGGUACGAAAGUGUGGGGAGCAAACAGGAUUAGAUACCCUAGUAGUCC